UACGUAGGGGGCAAGCGUUGUCCGGAAUCAUUGGGCGUAAAGAGCGUGUAGGCGGCCUGAUAAGUCGGCUGUGAAAGUCAAGGGCUCAACCCUUGAAUGCCGGCCGAUACUGUCAGGCUAGAGUCCGGAAGAGGCGAGUGGAAUUCCAGGUGUAGCGGUGAAAUGCGUAGAUAUCUGGAGGAACACCGGUGGCGAAGGCGGCAUCCUGGACCGAGAUCGACGCUGAGGCGCGAAAGCUAGGGGAGCAAACGGG
rnacentral:rRNA from 1 species